GUGAAGCUUUUGAGAAUUAUGGUUGCCCUCCAUUGAUGAAGCUCUUGUUGGCACCAUAAAUUGGUUUUACUUCACACUGUCUUGAUUAAGAAUGUGUGAAGCUUUCUACGAGUUAUAGUGUUUGCAUUGUUACAGAGGGGAAAUGUUUAAAGCAGAUGCAAGAGAGCUGAAUAGCUUGAUCUUCGUAUGCCAUGCACUGAAGUUGCUAUUGGCUUGCAAUAAGACUUUGUUGGUGACUAUAACUCUUGUUGGGCAU
rnacentral:lncRNA from 1 species